UGGGAAAAGCUCAACUUUGAAAUCGGACGCCUUUGGGUGUCCGAGUUGUAGUCUCGAGAAGUGUUUUUUCCGCGCUGGACCGUGUACGAGUCUGUUGGAAUACAGCGUCAUAGAGGGUGAGAACCCCGUUCAUGACACGGCCUUCCCAGUGCUAUGUGAUACACUUUCGAU
rnacentral:rRNA from 1 species